GGUGAGGUGGCCGAGCGGUCUAAGGCGCCAGACUAAGGUUAUUACGUAAUUACCUAAAUGACCAACUCAGAUUCUGAGCUUAUGUAAUCUGGUCUUUCGAGGCGUGGGUUCGAAUCCCACUCUCAUCA